rnacentral:rRNA from 1 species
UACGGAGGUCCCAAGCGUUGUUCGGAUUCAUUGGGCGUAAAGGGUGCGUAGGCGGCGCGGUAAGUCGGGUGUGAAAUCUCGGGGCUUAACUCCGAAACUGCAUUCGAUACUGCCGUGCUUGAGGACUGGAGAGGAGACUGGAAUUUACGGUGUAGCGGUGAAAUGCGUAGAUAUCGUAAGGAAGACCAGUGGCGAAGGCGGGUCUCUGGACAGUUCCUGACGCUGAGGCACGAAGGCCAGGGGAGCAAACGGG